GGCGGGCGGGCGCUGGCCUCCGUCGCCCCCGGCCGCUCGCCCGGGCGUCUGGUUCCGCUCCCGCCCCCGGCGUGGCGGCGCCGGGCGCCGCGCGCGCCCCCGUGCGGUCCCGCCCCCGCCCCGGCGCCGCUGGCGGGGGCCCCGGGCCGCGUUUCUCUUUUCUUUGUGCCGGGCCGGGCCCCCUGGCCUGGGUUCGUCCCGCGCGCGGGGCCCCCGCCCUGGCCGCGCCGCGGUUCCGGCGGCGUCCGGUGCGCUCUCGUCGGCCCUUGCCCUCCGGGGGCGCCGGUGUCCGUCUCGCGCCGGGCCGUCCCCUCUCCGCCGCCGGUCUCCCCGGUGCCCCGCCUCUGGCGUGUUCGCCCCCGGCGGCGUCCGGGCCGUCGGCCCGUCCGCUCCGUCCCUUCGGGCUCCGGCUGGCUCUCCGGGCUGGGUCGGUCGGGCUGCGGUGCGCCGCGGGGCUGGGCCCGCGCCGCGGCUGGGGGCGCGGCCGCCCCGCGUCGCCCUUCCCGUUCCCGCCUCCGGCGUGCGGCGCCCGGCCCCUCCGUCCCCGCCUCGGGCGUUCCUCCCGCUCCCCCCGCGUCGCCCCUUCCCGUUCCCGCCUCCGGCGUGCGGCGCCCGGCCCCUCCGUCCCCGCCUCGGGCGUUCCUCCCGCUCCGUCCGUGUCGUCCUGUUCCUCCCUCGGGGGGGGCCGGGCGGCGCGGCUCCGGGGCGGCGGGGGGCGUCUGGGGCGGUGCGGCGGGGGGUGUCCGCGGCGCCCGCGUCGGGCCGGGGCCGGCGGGGGGGGUGCGUCGCGGUGUGCGGCGGCGCCUCUGGCCGUGCGCCGGGCCCUUCUCGCGGCUCUCCCCCGCUCCGGCCCGCGUCGGGCCCUCCGUCUCGGUGCCCCCCUCCUCCGGGCGGGGGCCCGGGGCGGGCGGCCUCCCCGGCGCGGCGCCUCGGCCGGCGCCUCGCCGCCGGCUUCGCCCUGGUGCGGCCCCGGGGCCUCCGCCUGUUUCCUUCCCCCCCGCCUCGCGCCGGCCCGCGGCGGGUGUUGCCGCGCUGUGCUUUCUGCCCCGUGCUCUGCCUGUCCCCGUGCCGCCCUUCCCUGCCGCGCGGGUCCCCGGCGGGCGUCCCUCUGCCUCUCUUCCGGUCGCCCCUGCCUCGUCCUCUCCUUCGUGCCGCGCCUGCCUGGCUGCCCGCGCUUC
ensembl:lncRNA